rnacentral:lncRNA from 1 species
AACGAAUUGCUCUCCCCUCCUCGCUAAAAGAACCAGCCAAGCAACUUUACAGGAAAAGGAAGAACGGAAUAGUUUCAGUUUCAAUUCUUCGUUGCGGAAAGAGCCUCGUUGCAGCAGAGACGCGUCCCCCGUCCGCCACCAUUUAAGUAUUUUUAUCCGGCUGGCUGUAAAGUGUGGCAUCAAAUCCUCAUUGGAUUUUCGUUGAAGCAGAAGCGGAAGCAGAAGAAAUACCCAAAGGAAAUGGCUUCAAAUCCAGACAAUAUUAGAAAUCCUAUAUAUGACACACUUGAAAACAUAAAUGAUGUCUCAGCACUAAAUGAGAAGGAGGAAAACCCGGAUUUGAAUCCAGAUAUGAGCAAUGGAAGAGCACGUGGUGGUAACAGAAAGAAAAGGAGAAAUAGGAAGCCCCAAAGAUCAGCUGCCAAUUGGAAAACUGUGUGCACUGAAAAAGGGAAAGGGGUACGAAGGAAGAAAAUACCUCUUCGGGGUUUCUCAAGACCAAUGCUGGAUGUCAGCUGUAAAGAAACGAAAGGUGUUUUGCAUAAAGAGAAAAUGAAAAAAGGUAUUUAUGAGAAAUGUAUCUUCGCUAAUGAACAAUGGUUCACAUUGUCAGAAUUUGAAGAAUUAGGAGGAUGUAAGAAAGCAAAAAGCUGGAAGAGAAGUAUUCGUUGUGGUAAUGUACCAUUGGAAAUAUUAAUAAAGGUAGGCAGUUCAUUUAUAAUACCUUUAAAUUGCAUCAACAGCAAAGAGUCGUCUACCUCUUUACACUUUAAUAUCGCCUUCUGUACCCCAGCUCUUUUCCCUGCAGGAAUAGCAAGAUUUUAGUUAUAACCUUUGAAAAUUAAGGUUCUGUUACCUCAUAAUAUUUUAAUGCAAUUUCUGUUACUGGACUAAAAUUUGAUAGUCCCAAUGACAGAAAUGACUUGCCAUGUUAUUAUUAAUUCACUGGCUCUGUUCUUGGCAAGCUAGUAGUUGGAUUUAUUCUGAAUAGAAUCAUAGAGUUGAAAGAGACCUCGUGAGCCAUCCAGUCCAACCCCCUGCCAAGAAACAGGAAAAUCGCAUUCAAAGCACCCCCAAUAGAUUGCCAUCCAGCCUCUGCCUAAAAGCCUCCAAAGAGGAAGCAUUCACCACACUCUAGGGCAGAGAGUUCCACUACUGAACAGCUCUCACAGUGAGGAAGUUCUUCCUAAUGUUCAGGUGGAAUCUUCUUUCUUGUAGUUUGAAGCCAUUGUUCCUCGUCCUAGUCCCCAGGGCAGCAGAAAACAAGCUUGUCACGGGAAUAGGAAUGUAAUUUAGCUACAGUAUGUAAUAUAGAAAUUGACAAGUCAUUAUGAUGCAGGUGUACAUCAGUUACUACUUUAAAAGCAAAUUUGAUACCAGAGACAGAAAUACCGGUAACGUACAAGGAAGAGAGGGAGGUUCCUACAGCACCAUAAAAAAGAGUCAUUCAACCUAUUGCAGACAAAUUUAUAAUUGGAAUUCAUCUUAUGUGCAUGUGAAAUUAAUCUGGUCAGGUAAACCCUUCAUAAGUAAACAAAAUCCCUUUGAACCUUUUAAAGGCCAUAUGGCAGCUUCUCAAACAUACCCCAGAAUGGCUUUUUGGUUUAUAAGGAUUUGAUUUCAAUUUUGGUGGCUAAAAUCUGUUUUUUUUUACUCACUGCAUCCUGGAGAACAGCAGGUAAGGUAGGUUUACCUCCUAUUCCUCUUUUUUCCACUGUUUUGCUGUUCAUGUGUUUUCUGUAUGGGAUUCUCAAGACAGCUAUUUUAAAAACUUUUCCUGUUGAUUCAAAUCCUACACUUUCCAAACUUAAGCUUUGUUCACAUCAGAUGUACUGUGGCAAUCUGGCCCUGAAAGCCUUUUUAGCCAGCCCCACCCCCCCCCCCCCCCCCCC